rnacentral:rRNA from 1 species
UACGGAGGGAGCUAGCGUUGUUCGGAAUUACUGGGCGUAAAGCGCACGUAGGCGGCGAUUUAAGUCAGAGGUGAAAGCCCGGGGCUCAACCCCGGAACUGCCUUUGAGACUGGAUUGCUAGAAUCUUGGAGAGGCGAGUGGAAUUCCGAGUGUAGAGGUGAAAUUCGUAGAUAUUCGGAAGAACACCAGUGGCGAAGGCGGCUCGCUGGACAAGUAUUGACGCUGAGGUGCGAAAGCGUGGGGAGCAAAC